GCGAUCAGCUGCAGUCUGCUCAGCAGUGAGAAAAGAAGACGUCAGUGAUGGACGAAUCAUCGUCAAAGAGAAGAAAAACAAAGAAGAAAGACGUACAAAGAUGAUCCACCAGUGCUGCCCAGUUUGAGGACAUUUCCAGUCACAUUAAUGGGGGACAGGAGACGCAGCUUCCAUCAAAGCUGGUAUGAAAGUCAUCGUUGGAUUCUCUGUAAUUAUGGACUCUGCCUGUUUCAGGCCACCAAAUAUGUCAGACGUGGAGGUGACCUGAGUAGUGAACUCAUCGUCAUGGUCAAGAAACCUGUUGGAGAUGAUUUGAGCUUUGUGACAUGGAGUGCAAUCAGAGGAUGGUUACAGUGUGUUCAUAAAGGGAUGGAUGCAGUCAGCAGCAACACGCUGUGGUGUUUAAUCAAUGGUCUGAUACGAGGCAGGAUGGAUCCAUGUGACCAUCACAGCACAAAUCUGAACUCAUCAGACCUGGAAAUGUUUCUCCAGUCUGCUGUUGUCAGACUUUAGUGAGCCUGUGUGAAUCACAGCCUCAGUUUCCUGUUCUCAGCAGAACCAACUUUUCCUGAUGGGAACACAGAACCAGUUCUAGUUUGGUCACCAGCACUGCAUCCAUGGAAAAAGGGAACUGGUCCCAAAUCUACAGGAUGUUAACUCAGGAGAAUUAACAUCCUGUAGAUCUGGGAGCCGUUCAGAGCAAACAUGCAUUAAAGUAUGUUUUUGUCACUUAAGUGGAAAAGAAAACAUCCAAAUUAGUUUUAUGUGAUGUGUGAAACAUCUGGAUGAGGUUUCAGUGUUUACGUUUCAGUGCACUUGGUAAAUCCUUUGUUCUUUCUCUCUGUGGUCAUAAAGGACCAGGUUAACCAAUUAAAACAUAAUCGUGUUUUACAA